rnacentral:rRNA from 1 species
AGCAGCCGCGGUAAUCCCAGCUCCAAUAGCGUAUAUUAAAGUUGUUGCAGUUAAAAAGCUCGUAGUUGAAUUUCGGGGUCAGUAGAUUGGUCGUGCCACUGGUAUGCACUGGUCUUACUGGCUCCUCCUUCCUGAUGAACCGUAAUGCCAUUAAUUUGGUGUUGCGGGGAGACUGGACUGUUACUUUGAAAAAUUAGAGUGUUUAAAGCAGGCUAACGCUUGAAUACAUUAGCAUGGAAUAAUGAAAUAGGACGUUCGAUCUUAUUUUGUUGGUUUCUAAGAUUGACGUAAUGAUUAAUAGGGAUAGUUGGGGGCAUUAGUAUUCAAUUGUCAGAGGUGAAAUUCUUGGAUUUAUUGAAGACUAACUACUGCGAAAGCAUUUGCCAAGGAUGUUUUCAUUAAUCAAGAACGAAAGUUAGGGGAUCGAAGACGAUCAGAUACCGUCGUAGUCUUAACCAUAAACUAUGCCGACUAGGGAUCGGAUGAUGUUAAUUUUUAAUGACUCAUUC